UACGUAGGGUCCGAGCGUUGUCCGGAAUUACUGGGCGUAAAGAGCUCGUAGGUGGUUUGUCGCGUUGUUCGUGAAAACUCACAGCUUAACUGUGGGCGUGCGGGCGAUACGGGCAGACUGGAGUACUGCAGGGGAGACUGGAAUUCCUGGUGUAGCGGUGAAAUGCGCAGAUAUCAGGAGGAACACCGAUGGCGAAGGCAGGUCUCUGGGCAUUAACUGACGCUGAGGAGCGAAAGCAUGGGGAGCGAACAGG
rnacentral:rRNA from 1 species